GGGUGAUUAGCUCAGUGGUAGAGCGCUUCGGUCACAUCGAAGAUGUCGGGGGUUCAAAUCCCUCAUCACCCACCA
rnacentral:tRNA from 2 species